GGGGGGAGCGAGCGUUAUUCGGAUUCACUGGGCGUAAAGGGUUCGUAGGCGGUCAAGUAAGUCAGGGGUGAAAUCUAACGGCUUAACCGUUAAACUGCCCUUGAAACCGCUUGACUUGAGGACAUGAGAGGAAAGCGGAAUUCUCGGUGUAGCGGUGAAAUGCGUGGAUAUCGAGAGGAACACCAGUGGCGUAGGCGGCUUUCUGGCAUGUUACUGACGCUGAGGCGCGACAGCGUGGGGAGCAAACAGGAUUAGAUACCCUGGUAGUCCACGCCCUAAACGAUGGGCACUAGGCGUCGCGGGUGUCGACCCCUGCGGUGCCGUAGCUAACGCGUUAAGUGCCCCGCCUGGGGAGUACGGUCGCAAGGCUG
rnacentral:rRNA from 1 species